AUUGAACGCUGGCGGCAGGCCUAACACAUGCAAGUCGAACGGUAACAGGAAGCAGCUUGCUGCUUCGCUGACGAGUGGCGGACGGGUGAGUAAUGUCUGGGAAGCUGCCUGAUGGAGGGGGAUAACUACUGGAAACGGUAGCUAGUACCGCAUAAUGUCGCAAGACCAAAGAGGGGGACCUUCGGGCCUCUUGCCAUCGGAUGUGCCCAGAUGGGAUUAGCUUGUUGGUGGGGUAACGGCUCACCAAGGCGACGAUCCCUAGCUGGUCUGAGAGGAUGACCAGCCACACUAGAACUGAGACACGGUCCAGACUCCUACGGGAGGCAGCAGUGGGGAAUAUUGCACAAUGGGCGCAAGCCUGAUGCAGCCAUGCCGCGUGUAUGAAGAAGGCCUUCGGGUUGUAAAGUACUUUCAGCGGGGAGGAAGGGAGUAAAGUUAAUACCUUUGCUCAUUGACGUUACCCGCAGAAGAAGCACCGGCUAACUCCGUG
rnacentral:rRNA from 1 species